rnacentral:rRNA from 1 species
UAGUCCAUGCCGUAAACGAUGAACACUCGUGGUGGCCGGUAUUGACCCCGGCCGUCACCUAGCUAACGCGUUAAGUGUUCCGCCUGGGAAGUACGGUCGCAAGAUUAAAACUCAAAGGAAUUGACGGGGACCCGCACAAGCGGUGGAUCAUGUGGUUUAAUUCGAAGCAACGCGCAGAACCUUACCCGGCCUUAACAUCCCAGAGACCAUUCUAGAAAUAGUCUUUUCUCGCAAGAGACUCUGGUGAUAGGUGCUGCAUGGCUGUCGUCAGCUCGUGUCGUGAGAUGUUCGGUUAAGUCCGGCAACGAGCGCAACCCUUAUUUUUAGUUGCCAUCAUUAAGUUGGGCACUCUAGAGAGACUGCUGGUUAUAAACCGGAGGAAGGCGGGGAUGACGUCAAGUCAGCAUGCCCCUUANACCCUGGGCUACACACGUGCUACAAUGGGUNAGACAAUGAGAUGCAAAUCUGCGAAGACAAGCUAAUCUAUAAACUCACUCUAAGUUCGG